rnacentral:lncRNA from 1 species
AUGUUAACUUAACCCUGUUUCCUUUCCAUUCCCUAUAAAACAGCCGAAGCCUGAAGCCAGCCUAAACAACCAGAAGACCGGUUGAACCGAACCAGUUAUGGCCCACCUUAAGAGGAUAACUGAACCAGAAGACCAUGUUUCGACACUAUUUUACCAAGGUGAAGGAAAUUCAGCUUACUAGAGGCAUUGAAAAAACCACCUAAUGCUUGGUGAAGGGCUUAAAAUGACGUAAAAAGAAGUUAUAUACAGUGAAUUGGGGCUGAUGUGGGUGCAGUAAGUGCUUGGGACAACUAUGAAGAUUGUGAAAGAGGUUCAUAAGGGCAAUACAAUUUUGAUUAUGUUUGUUAGUUAUUUGUUUUGUAUGUUUGUUAUUUAGACUUAGGUUGACACUUAUUAGGCAUUUGUUUGAAACAUUUGAAAUGUUUGAAAGAUGAUUGAA